UACGAAGGGUGCAAGCGUUACUCGGAACUACUGGGCGUAAAGCGUGCGUAGGUGGUUCGUUAAGUCUGAUGUGAAAGCCCUGGGCUCAACCUGGGAAUGGCAUUGGAUACUGGCGACCUAGAGUGCGGUAGAGGGGUGUGGAAUUCCCGGUGUAGCAAUGAAAUGCGUAGAUAUCGGGAGGAACAUCUGUGGCGAAGGCGACACCCUGGACCAGCACUGACACUGAGGCACGAAAGCGUGGGGAGCAAACAGG
rnacentral:rRNA from 1 species